AGCCUGUUCAUUAGGUACCUAAAGCCAGAGCUAAUGCAAGUCUUUCACAGAGAUAGCCUGUUCAUUAGGUACCUAAAGCCAGAGCUAA
ensembl:miRNA gmo-mir-11188 gmo-mir-11188